rnacentral:tRNA from 1 species
GCCGAUAUAGCUCAGCUGGCUAGAGCGGCUGUUUCGUAAACAGCAGGCCGGGGGUUCGAGUCCCCCUAUUGGCU